GAUGAUGUACACUAUCUCAAAGAGUUUUUAUUUCACUUAGCUAAUACAGAUGAUGAUGGAUUCCCAAACAGAAAUCUUCAUGACUGAUCAAGGUGAAAAAGUUGAAGAAUUGCAUCAAUUGUUACAGAGAAUCGAUUUGCAAGCAGAAACAUGUGCUCAAAGAUAAGGGAAUACAACAGCCAUACAUGCUCCUUUACAUGUAAAGUAAGCAGCUGUUCCUGAUGCUUAUAGGCAUAAACAAUCUAGUCUGGACAUGUAAAACAUCAGCUGGUUCUAUUUUGAAAAGCUACACAAUAGAGCUAAGGUCCUAUAAGCCAAGAAACUGCCAGUGUCAGAAGAGGACAAACUAAGACAGGCCAUGAAAACUGAUAUAAUGUCAAGUUGGGACAGUGAUUCUGUAGAUAAACUCACCUGAUCACAAGACCUUGGAUUUGACUGUCACAAGAUUUUAAAUCUUACAUGGGUAGACUUAAGUCAUUUACUAGACUGUAAAUACCAGAGACAGCUGAAUGCACAAGGCAAAAAGCUGAGGUCCAAGUAAAUCAGAGAGGCCUUGUCCCAAGAAAUGUACAGAACUUGCAUGGUUUUUGUUUAAGAGCAUAAGACAAAAUAUUGAGAGAUGUCAAUGAAAAUUUCUUUGAAUUUUGAUAAGGACCAAUUCAAAGGUACACUUUUGGAAUUUGCAAGAACAAAAAUACCUAUAUGAUUACAUUUGAAUUAUAGUUGACAGUUUUCAGUUUAAGGGGAACCUCAGAAAAUAAGUCAAAUGGAGGGGUUUGGUUUAUUGAAUUUGAUUAUUUUUUUAAAGUAAAACAGAUGAAUUAUCGCUAUUGAAUUUCAACAUUUGCAUUUUACUAUUAAAAUUAUUUACAAGUGCAGCAUAUCGAUGACAUCAAAUUAUGUUAUUGUGUUUGGUUAAGCUACAUAUUUCUUUUUACUUAAACUUUCUGUUGCCUUUACAAAUUAAUAAAAUGCUGAAUAAUAAUUUGAGUGUGGGUCAUUUCAGUGUCUAUUUUAGCUGUAAGAUUUCACCAUAUUAUUUAUAAUCGCUUGGUCAAAGGGAGAUAACUUUUUGUAUCUUCACAUUAAAAAAUCUGUGGAGAGGAUUAUGUUAAAUGUGAAUAGUUGAAAAAUUAGUUACUGCCAUUCAUUAUAAAUAAAUUUCUAUCAAAAAUAAGGCUCAAAGAACUUUUUAUAUUACUUAUAUUAACAAUAACAAUGUACACACAUGUUGACAUAUUAAUACACACUGCCAGAGUGUGCGGUUCGCCAUAAAAUUUGUAAACAUUGAAAAUAAAGCUGAAACUUUUAACUAAUCAGGAGACAAUAAACACCAAAGAUAUUUUUAAACCUAUAAACUUAUUAUUUUCUUCAAUUGUCCCAAGUACAUUCAAUAUUGAUAAUUUUUUGCUUGACAUUACAUAAUUUUGUUGAUAGAAGUUUAUUUGUGUGCUAUUUUAUUCAAUUGUACAUAUUUUAAACAUUACAUCUGUACAUUACACCUUAUUAUUUUUAUUUUUGAAUACAGCAUUUGGAAUGAAAUCCCAUAACAUUUUAAUUAAUGUUCGAUAAGCAGGAUUGUUUUUUGAAUUUAGCAAUUAUGUUAAUCAUGUAAAUAACGUUAAGUUUUUAGUGUUUUGCUUUUUGAAGUUUUUAUAAUUGACAAAUAAUGCUAGCAAGGGAGAUUAUUAAUAUUUUUAUGAUGCCAAACUUGAAAUUUUAAGGUGGCUUUGUUUGCUAUUUGUUAUAACCCUAUUGUUAUGAUUCUUAAACCAUCUAAGCAUGUUGAUUUGUCACUUACCAUUAUUUUAUUGAUUAGUUUGAAUUUGAUGAGAUUCUUUGAUAACUGGACUGAUUGAAACAAAAAGUUUUUUUUUUAUUUGUUUGAUAAUAAAAUUGUAUAAAAAACAUUUUGACAUUGUAUUUUAAUUUCUCACCAAAGCAACACUAUUUUGUCAGUAUCUGAAUAAAAUUAAUUUGUUA